rnacentral:ncRNA from 2 species
AUAAAAUUGAAGAUUGUAUUUCGUAUAUCUUUGGGAAUAGGGCCCGAAAGUUUCUACCAGCUAGCCGCAAACUAGCUGACUACGAAAUAGUAGUUUUUAGGG